rnacentral:rRNA from 1 species
AGAGUUUGAUCCUGGCUCAGGAUUAACGCUGGCGGUAUGCCUAACACAUGCAGGUCGAACGGAAUACUAAUUAAGAGAAUCUCACACUAGUGAGAGGUUCUCACGAGUAGUAUUUAGUGGCGGACGGGUGAGUAACACGUUGGAACCUGCCCCGAAGUGGGGAAUAACUGCUCGAAAGAGUAGCUAAUACCCCAUAGUAUCCGGUUUAUCCGGAUUAAAGAUUUAUCGCUUUGGGAGGGGCCUGCGUCUGAUUAGCUAGUUGGUGAGGUAAAAGCUCACCAAGGCGACGAUCAGUAGCUGGUUCGAGAGGAUGACCAGCCACACUGGGACUGAGAUACGGCCCAGACUCCUACGGGAGGCAGCAGUGAGGAAUCUUCCACAAUGGGCGCAAGCCUGAUGGAGCAAUACCGCGUGCAGGAAGACGCUUUUCGGAGUGUAAACUGCUUUUGUCGUCGAAGAUUAUGACUGUAGACGAAGAAUAAGGACCGGCUAACUACGUG